CUGGGAGGAAGUGUUUAUACCUAGAGGAGU
rnacentral:piRNA from 1 species